GACAGAGGAUGCAAGCGUUAUCCAGAAUUAUUGGGCGUAAAGCGUAUGUAGGUGGCUUUUCAAGUCCGCCAUCAAAUCCUAGGGCUCAACCUUGGACAGGCGGUGGAAACUACCAAGCUAGAGUAUGGUAGGGGCAGAGGGAAUUUCCGGUGGAGCGGUGAAAUGCAUUGAGAUCGGAAAGAACACCAACGGCGAAAGCACUCUGUUGGGCCGACACUGACACUAAGAGACGAAAGCUAGGGGAGCAAAUGGG
rnacentral:rRNA from 1 species